rnacentral:lncRNA from 1 species
GGGCGGGGGGUGGGGUGGGAAGAGUGUAGCAGUGAGGACGACGAGAGGUCACUCUCGUCGCCAUUUUGUUUUUGGUGGUUUUUGUCUGGCUUCUUUACCGCAACCUGUUUUAUCAGCAAAGUCUUUAUAACCUGUAUUUUGUGCUGACCUCCUAUCUCAUCCUGUGACUUAGAAUGCCUUAACAACUGUCUGGAAUGCAGCCCGAUCUGUGGAGUGGCUGCAGCACCUGUGUUUCAGCCUGAAGAAUGGGCACAGAUAUUUCAUGAUUCUGAAGAAGAAUUGGAGGUGAGACUUGAGAAAAUGGAGAAAAAGAUAUGCUUUGGAUUUUCUUGAAGACUAGAAGCUUUCUUAACCAUCCACCACCUUGUUGACUGGUUAUUAUUCUCUCUACCUUCUGUGAAACAAACUGAUGGAUACUAAUGGCACAAUUACACUUAUAGCUAGUCAGUUGCAUAGUUUAUGCACAUAGUUCUGCUUCCAGUGUUUAGUAAUGAGUUAAACAUUUUGGCUAUAUUUGUCUCUGAAGCUAUAAUUUCAAUUAAUCAUUAUGUAUAGCAAUAAUAACAAGUAAAACAAAAAGAAGAAUUUUUUGUUUCUAUGGUAAUUAUGUUGGGUGCUUUGGAUCCUCCCAAUAAAGUUGACUUCCUAAAAUAAUUACACUUGAAUUAGGUAUAGAGAAGCUAAUUGUAACAAAUUGAAAGUUACUGUAAAUCUUCUAAUCGUAGUUCUCUGCAAGUGUACUUAAGUUAUUGCUCCACUUGAAAUAAAUGAAAACUGGAAAUCUGAGGUGAUGAAUUAUGGGUCCCUUUUAUGUAAGAAAGAUGACAAGGAAAUCUAAUCUGCUGAGUUAUACUAAAAUAAAAUACCUUGGCCUGGGAUCAAAUAUAGGUGAAAGAAUUAACAUUUAUGUUUUUUAAUUAAGAUAAAAUGUACAAGUUUUAUGUACAUAUUUUAUGAUUUCCUGAUAUAACAAAAAGUGUUGAUAAAAGCACCCAAUACUGAUUCUAAUGACAUUUGAUUAGCAUUAAAGAGUUGCUAUUAUUA